AUGCUUGUUUGGGCAGCACAUAUACUAAAAUUGGAAUGACACAUGGAAGAUGGCAUGGCCCCCAAGGGUGACAUGCAAAUUGGCAAGGCAUUUCACAUUUUU
rnacentral:snRNA from 1 species